UUUGUUUUGAACCGGCAUAUGUCGGUUCUUCGGUAUAAGUAAAAAGAAACAAUGUCGUAUUGGACAUUUAGAUGACAAUAAUAUUGAAUUUAGAUGACAAUAAUAACAAGCAGUUUAUCAUCAUAAAUUUCCAAUUCGAUCAUAUCUGCCCCGGAGAUAUAACCAAUAGAAAUAAAACUUCGUGGUUAUUGGAAUAAAAUUACCAGAUUGUGUGUAUAGCUUUUGAAUUCACAGUGAAUUAACAUUUCCUUGUGAAUAGUAAAACUGGAACUCAUGAAAUCUGGCAACAUGUUUAUUAAAUUUCCAGCUUGUGUGAACUUUAACAAUCGGACAAUUAUACUCUGAAAUCUAUAAACUAAAAAUUGAUGUGCUUCUUUUCUCUAUACCCUUUGUUUUGGUGAAUAUUGGAUAUACUCUUAAGUGCUAAUGUAGAAAAGAGCGUCGCAAAAAAGUUACAAAAACAAGUUGCCAUAAACCUAAACAGAGUCCAGUAUAUUGAUUUUUGUGUACAAGCGGAUGCAAAAUUGUU
rnacentral:sRNA from 1 species